GUGAGGCGGAGCUAAUCCCUUAAAGCCAUUCUCAGUUCGGAUUGUAGGCUGAAACUCGCCUACAUGAAGCUGGAGUUACUAGUAAUCGCAGAUCAGAAUGCUGCGGUGAAUGCGUUCCCGGGUCUUGUACACACCGCCCGUCACACCAUGAGAGUUGGGAAUACCCGAAGCCUGUGAGCUAACGCAAGAGGCAGCAGUCGAAGGUAGAAUCAAUGAUUGGGGUGAAGUCGUAACAAGGUACC
rnacentral:rRNA from 1 species